rfam:Mortierella elongata AG-77 unplaced genomic scaffold K457scaffold_156, whole genome shotgun sequence.
AGCUACGGCCAUACACAACUAAACCCACCGCAUCCCGUCCGAUCUGCGCAGUUAAACAGUUGAUGGCAUAGUCAGUACUAUGGUGGGGGACCACAUGGGAAUACUAUGUGCUGUAGUUU